rnacentral:antisense_RNA from 1 species
CGAUUUUGAAUUUUUAGUACACAGGUAGAUUGGUCAACAAUGAAUUUGUGAUUAUAGAAGUCACUUGAAUGGAGCAAGGCUAAAAAAGUGGGUAAAUCAGGGGAAGAUAUAAGUUCAUAGUUUGAAUAUGGUGCGUCCGAGUGGACUCGAACCACCGACCCCCACCA